AUCCCAUGAUGUGGACACUGUGCCAAUAAAUCUUCAAAUCUUUCCCAUGCUUCACUAGUUGAUUGGUUAGGAUACUGUUUGAACUCCAUAAUCUUCUUAAUGCCAU
rnacentral:snoRNA from 1 species